AUACCCGAAAACAUUUUAAUUCGAGGUUAUGUAUUAUCAGUCAUUUAACUGUCAACUUCCCAAACAGUCCUUUUACAUACUGUAUAUUUGCUGGUUUAACAUUGUGCUAACGACAGCAGGUGACUGAUAAUGAUUUUGUAACAACCUUCAUCCACUGCCUAUCAAAGAUUUUGUAUUUUUCCCACCCAAACCAGCGUCAUUAUUUAAUAGGUCAGGUUUGCCUUUAUAAGCGUAGAAUAAGACCUCGGGUUGUACCAGUACACGUUUGUAACCCCUACUUCUGGUUGGUUCGCCCACAUACCUGUGGGACUUAAUACAUUUUCAAAUACUUUUGAAAAUAGCUAGCUAUGCUGUGUUGAAUGGCUCUUUAUACAUUUGAUUGAGCUAGAAAAAAUAAUUACGCUAUUCUGUUUAAAACUUUUAAAAACUUACUCAGGGAGGAAUUUCAAGUUGAGCAGUAUUGUGUGAUAUCAAAGCAGUAGAGACUUUGAAAAAACAAUAACAAUGUUGCCACUGACAAAAACAGUCUAUGUAGCUCCACAAACCUGCAGCAGUGUUAGCACCGGGGGCAGUGUUAGCACCGGGGGGCACCGGGGGCAGUGUGGGCACCGGGGGCAUUGUUAGCACCGGGGGUCACCGGGGGCAGUGGGGGCACCGGGGGCAGUGUGAGCACCGGGGGGCACCGGGGGCAGUGUGAGCACCGGGGGCACCGUGGGCAGUGUGAGCACCGGGGGCAGUGUGAGUACCGGGGGCAGUGUGAGUACCGGGGGCAGUGUGAGCACCGGGGGCAGUGUGAGUACCGCGGGCACCGGGGGCAGUGUGAGCACCGGGGGCAGCAGGACCACCUUAGGUCACUAAAAGACAAGGUUAAAAUGAGUUUCAUUUUACACAUAUUCACAUUGACAUAAUUUAGCAGACACUCUUAAACAGAGUGAAUAUCAAUAGUGAGUGCAUGUCUCCUAUAUCCAUGUGCUUUUAGAGAAAUCAUGUCUAGAUAAGAGGUUCUCCAAUUAGUUUGUGCUAUAUAAAAUACAUCUGUGUUUUUCUGAGAAAAAAUCC
ensembl:lncRNA